CAGACCUUACCUGGUGCAGACAAAAUGAAAACAAUUAUUCUAAAAUUGAGAUUGACGGUACCAAAUACAAACAUGGUACAGAUCCAGUCCAUUAUUUAGAAGUAAAUGACUUUCAACUUAGCGAUGAAGGAAAAUACAUUUGCAAGUUUAAACAUGGUAAAGACGGCCAAUCAAUAUCAUCGUGUUGCCUUUCUUGUGAAGGUUGCCAAAUUCCAAUUAAUGGAUGUCAAGAAGGGGAGACGAGUCUUUUGCAAUUUGAGGUCAAAGAUCGAAGAUUACCACCAUUAGAGGCAUUACCAAAGUCUCCGGAAAGAAGAGAUGAAAUAAAAAAGAAAAAGAAAUAGAAAAAGAAAGAGAAAGAAAAAGAAAAAGAAAAAAAUGCAGAAGAUUAUAACGUUCGACAUUUGAAAAAAGAUGAAACCAACGACGAGCAUAAAGAAUCCAGUUCUCCAAAAUUGACAGAAGAUUUGACAAAUGAAGAAGAGAUGACUGUUACAGUUGUAAGUUCUCUAAAGUUGACAGUGGGUUUGAAAAAUAAAGAAGAUGAUUUUACAGUUGUAAGAUCAUCUUGUUGGCCGUCUCGAAAGGUUGGACAAGAUCCAAAUGCACAAUGGCAUGAUUCUGAUACUAAAGGAAGAUCAGCAAAAGCCAAGGCUCAACAUUCGGACGAGAUUGUAAUGAGUUAUGUUGAAAAAAUAAAACAAACAUUUUGUGAUGGUCAGUCUAUUUGUGAGAACCUUGACUAUGAGAACUUAUUGCUACAUCAAUGUCCAUAUAGUCUCAUUGAAAAAGAAGCGUUAGAUGGUCUUAAAUCUACCAUGUCGAAAGAAAGUCAAAGACCAAAUGAGAAUGAAGCACAAAAUGAUA